rnacentral:lncRNA from 1 species
CCAGGCCUCAAUGUGACAGGAAAUUUUGACUUUUUUUAUUUUUAGGGUGAACUAAACAAGGCCUAAUUCUUGCUCUCCGAUAAGCUGAGGAUUUUCGACCGACCUUCACCAAACAUCUAUAAAAGAUAUUGGUAUUUAUAGUAUAUAUACAAUUAGUAUUAUUUAAAUAUGAUCAAAUAUAUUUUCAUAAAGAUAUAAAUGUUGUUAACAGUUUUCUAUAAAUUUAAUUAAUUUUAUAAAAGUUUAACCAGCAUAAACUCUCGUACCAGCAUUCUUUCUGGAAUGGAGAGAGUACGAUUCAAGAUAAAAGUUUACCAUGCCAAUGAUACAAAAAGGCCCCAUUUGAUACACAUCUCCUUUGCUAUGGGAGUAACUUCUUUGCUUUCUUGGCUCCAAGUGUAAUUCUAUUGGUGAAGGUAAAACUAUUUUGGUAAAACAUUUGGUCAAACGUUUCUCAUGUAUUAUCAUGAAUUGUUGAGAGAAGACAAAUAUCUAUGAAGCUUGUAGAAGCUUGUUUGUUUACCUUCACAGGUGGCACAUGCGCCCCUGUGAAAACUUAGGGAGUGUUUGGUUCCCCAUAAAAUGUAAAAUACCAACUACUUUGGACAUAUCAAAUGUAAAAUGCCAAAAUUUUCAGAGUUAUGUUUAAUUUCAUAAAAAAUGCAGAAUUUAUUGUCCUAAUGAGAGCCUCUUGUGGCUCUUUCGGUUUCUUUUGCCUCUUGAGGCCAAAAUCUAAAAUAAAGAAUAACCAUAUUUUUACCAAAAUUUUUGCAUAACGUUUAGUUUUAUUAUGAAAAAUAAUAGACCAAAACUCAAAAAUAUUUUAAUAGAAGGGGAACUAAAUAUUCCUAUAAUUUAAGAAGCUCUGUGCGAGAAGCUAUAAAGUUUCUAUCAAAAUUUACCCGUUUCCUAAAAAAAAAGAUGCGCUGAAUUGCUCUAGGAGCGGGAGAAGAAUUUAUAUCAAACGGGGUCUAGAAUAUUUUUUAUUUGAUCCUCGUGUUGACGUGCCACGAUUCAUUCUCGAGUUCAAUAAAAAAAAAUAAAUCACUGUCGAUACAUGUAUUUGCAUUUGAACAAGCAUUAAAAGCGUAUGGAGUGCACUGGUUCCACGGAGGUUUCGAUCGCUCGUUUGUUUUUCAUAGUUCAAACAGAAUUUCCGUCCACGUAGAGUAUCUAUUCUACAUUAUCAAAAAAAAAACAUUGAUUCAAAAAAUAAAUAAAUAAAACGUCAGUAACGUAGGAGUACCCACCAAUGCUGCUGGCCUGCUGCUGCGGGCCCAGGUGCCGUGCUGGCCCAUGCGGCCAUGCUGCUGCUGCUGCUGCGGGCCACAGUGUCUUGGGCCUUGGCCGCCUUGGAUUUUGGGCGUUGCCCCGCUGCCGGCCUGCUACAGUCCGCUGCACGGUUGCAGGUUGGCAUAUCCAGGAUCUGAUCCUAGUCACUCUGUCCCACAAACAAAUGC